rnacentral:lncRNA from 1 species
AAGAAUAAGUAUGAGGCGGUUAAGAAGUUAGUAAAAGCAAAAGAAUAAGCUGGAAACAGAGGAAACAUAUGCACGUGUAACAGAGAGUGAGAGAGAAGCUGCAAACUGACCCAACUACAGACCUGAAAACCCGACCCAGAACCCGCGACCUUGACCCGGCCAACUCUCCCAUUUCCAGCCACCGUUUUGGCCGAGCUUGGUACCAAUCUGAAGCUUAGAAGCCGGUCGUCGUUUCCCUGCCAUCCUCACCGCCGAAACACAACCAGAACGCCGGCGAUCGAAGCUUGAAAACCCGUGACUGUUUUGCUUUGUUCCGCUGGGAUUUUCGCCGGUUUUGGGUGACACCACCAGUUGGAUUUUGUUCCCCACGACUCCCUCUUCCAUUUCCGACCAUCCAUAGCCACCGAGAGUCAUUGUUUUGCCGCCGGUCAAUUGUUAGAAUUCACGGUUGCGGAGCUAGAUUUCGGCGUUGUUACUGCGCAUUGGAGCACACCGCCGGUACCAUUGAACUCAGCGUGAUGGGAACUUUCAGACUUGAGCUUCCCGGCCAACGUUGACCAAAUUUCGGUGACCGUUGACCGGCAAGGGCAUUUCGGUAAUUUCACACUCUGAGGGCAAUUUUGUAAUUUCCGAGCCUAGAGAUAUUUUAGUAAUUCUUGGAAUUGAGGAUAGGAUGUAAUUACGAUUCCGAGGAUAAUUCGGUGAUUUAUGAUUUUAGAGUAUUUUUAUUAUUUACGAACUCGAGGGCAUUUUAGUAAGUUUAUCGACAUGGAAGUUAUAAAUUAUGGAUAGAUGUUUGUUUCGAGUUUAUUACAUAAAUUUAGUCGUAAUUUCAAUUUAUGAAAAAUAAUUAUGUCGUUUCCUUGAUUUAGGAGGAUCCGCGAGCAAGAACCGGUCCACGGACAUGGACGAUAACUGAGCGUGAGCACCAUCACUGUGAGUGGAAUAUACAAAACUUAUUUUCAUAGUUAAUUAUGAUAAUAAAGCAUGUUUGUGAAAUAAGUAUUUUAAAUGUGUUGAUUUAAUGAUUUCCUCGAAAUGGAUUUUACACACGCAUUGAUAUUUUAUUAAAAUGUUUGGUUAAUGAUUUUGCGUAUCGAUUUUGAUAAGUAUGAUAGUAUUUUAAAGAUAAGAAAAGUGGAUUCAAAUGUGGUAUGAUUUAGAGUAUGAUUGAAAGGUAUGUGAAUAUGAGUAUAAUGGUUAUUUUUGAAAUCGUUAGACAAUACCCUUCCCUCUGAAAUAUAAGUGUGCAAUCCAAGAGGGGGGUGAAUUGGUAUUUUAAAAAUUAUCCUAAAAAAUCUACACAACAAUCCAAUCUAACGCCUUAAUAAAUAUGAAAGCAAUAAGUUUAAUGAAAGCACAAUAACAAAUGAGUAAGGGAGAAGAGAAACAAACACACGAAUUUUUACGUGGUUCGGCAAUCCUCGCCUACGUCCACGCCUCCAAGCGAUCCCAGCUUGAGGAUUUCACUAUCCAAGUCUUUCCAAGGCUUCGAACGUUUACAAUUGACAUCAAGGUGUCAAUAAACCUUUACAACUAAGAGAUUAUCUCCCAAUCUGUUCACUCAAAUGUCUCACACACUCAAACACUUACAAUUAAGAUGAAGAAAUGAAAGUUACAACAAAACUCACUCAAAAAGUGGAUAUUCAAAAAUGAAGAACAAGAGAUGAUUCAAUGUUUUGUGAUUUACAAAUUGAAAGCUCAAGAUAUCUCGUGUGCUUUUUGUUUAUGCUUGCUUGAGAGCUUGAAAAUGAGUUGGAUUUGAGUUUAUAUAGUUUGAGCUCAAAAACUAGCCGUUAUGCACAUUUUGGUCAUAGCCGGCUUGCCGUUUAUGGAAUUCAGUUAGCAGCUUUUAUGUUACUGUUAAGGCAAAAAUUUGAAUUUCAGAAUAUCCGGCAUGCCGCUUUUCAUAUCCAGUUAACCACUUUUGAAAUCCAGAUUGCCGCUUGCGAAAUCCGAAUAGUCGUUUAUGCUCCAGAAGCUUACUGCCCAAAAUCUGGAUUGCCGUUUACCAUAUCCGAUUAGUCGCUUGUUACAGUAACUGCUAUAGUGAAAUAUUUUUUAAAUUUACAGUUUGAUCCCAAAACGUUAUAAAAUUAUAUUAUGGCCUAAAAAGUUAUGAAAGCUUUCAAAUAGGUCCCAUUUCAGAAUUUCUAAAACAAUACUUUCUCAAUCCUAAAACUUUCUGAAAUUAUGAUUUCACCCAAAUUAUGUGAAAUUAUAGAAUGACCUAAAAUAUUUAAAUAGUUUCAAAUAGGUCUAAAUCUGAAAUUUUCAAACAAUAUCAAAGGUUUUAAAAUACUUUCAUUUUAGUCCAAAAUACUUUAAUUCCAUAACAUCAUUUUCUUAAAAAGCACAAUUUCAUAAAUCUUUGUUUAAUCAAUACAUGUGGUUUGUUAUCAUCAAAAUCAAUAUCUAUAGCCAUAUAGGCUAACACCCUCCAGAUACAGUGAUACAGAUGAGAUAAGAUAGAAGCCUUUGGGGCCCCUCUGAACACACAUAGAGGGUUUGGGCCGUGUGUUUGGGCAUUUCUGCCUUUUGGGGGCAUAUGCAUGUGGUAUGAUGAUUACAGAGAUACAGAUAUGAGAUACAGACAGAUAUUGAGAUACAUAUUAUACGAAUGAGAUACAGGCCUUUGGGGCCCGUCUAAGUACACACAGAGGCUUUGGGCCGUGUGCUUGGGCGCUUUUGUCCUUUGGGGACUAGAUUAUGCAUGCACACAGAUGAUGAGAUAUGAGAUGAUACUUCCCUGUCUAUCCGUGUAGCUCCGAGGCGUGACGGUACCCAGAUAAUACGUCAUUGCCCGUCCAUUGAGGUCCUGAUCUCGAUGUCGUGAUACCACGACUAGUGAUGAUGUGCUGCGAUGUAACUAGCGAUGUGUGAUGCAAGUGUUGUGAUUUUUGUAUUUAUAUUUUUUUAAUUUAAAAGGGUAUUUUCAGAAUUUAGAAAUUUUAAUGUGGGCAAAUUGAAUAGUCCCAUGAACAAGAGACUGAUUCCCAAACGCCCUGGGAAUUAGUCUCUUAUUCUCGGUUUCCAAUUUGAUGUGGGCUCCAUUAUUCCUAUUCCAAUUCUUAUCUUUAUUUAUAAAGUAAAUGAUGUUGAUGAUUCUGAUUCCUUAAUUUAAGAAGUGAACACACUAUAAUAUUUUUUUUAAAUGCAUCCAUGGCACAAUCUCAUUAGUCCAUUUUUCUUCACGCUUAGAUUCAACUUCAAGAUUCAAUUUGAAGCAAACACAAGUACAAAACAAAUAUAAUAAGCAUUAAUAAGCCUGUGGCAAUCAUACCUUACGCCAGAAGUUAAACAAUGUUCCCAUUCCACGUGUCAGUCUUUGACCAAUCCCCAAACUUUCUUCAUAUUUCCAAAGGAACCCUUGCCAAAUCAAAAUAAUUCCCUUCACUCUACUCAUAUAAAUACUGUCCUCGAUUCAACUGAUGACGACACAUCCUUACAGUCUUUAUUUAGGCAUUUGUUACCUUUAUUGAUUAGAUAACAAACACAGCAAAAUGAGAAGUGUUGGAUUUGAAACUUCAAAUCUAACGACUGGAAAGGAGAGGUAAUGUAUUAGGGGGAGCGUAGGGAAGUGGAACAAAUUCAGACUUGAAAGUUUUCUCUUUCUUGUUUUAAUUUAAUUUACUUAUCCCCAAAUAAUCCAAUGCUUGCAUGACCAUGAAAUUAGUUGUGGUCCUAACGUAAAUUUUAAUAAAUUUGCGUAAAGAUGUCAGAUUUAUUAAAUAUGUGUAAUAAUAAUAAUGACAUUAAUAAAUAAUAAUAACAAGAACAAUAAUAAUGAUGAUGAUGAAAAAUAAUAAUAACAUGGAUAAAUUUUAAUAAUAAUAGUAGUAGUAGUAAUAAUAAUAGUCUUAACAACAACAAUAGCAAUAACAAUAGUAAUAAAAGUAAUAUUGAAAAUGAAAAUAAUAACAACAAAGACAAUAAUAAUAAAUAAUAAUAAUUAAAAUAAUAAAAUAAAUAUAUUUUAUAAUAAUGAUAAUAACAACAUGAAGGACAAUAAUGAUGAUGACAACAAAGACGAAGACGACAAUGACGAUGAUAAUUUAUUAAUUUUAUUAUUAUUAUAAAUAUUGUUAUAUUACAAUUUAUUAUUUAUUAAUUUUUAAUUAUUAUUUAAAUUAAGGAUAAAAUGGGUAUUAGGAAAUUUAGUCGGGGAUAAAAGAAUAUUUAUGGAAGUGGAGUUCUGAUUUCCAACCUACUGGGAAUCAAAACUCUGGUAAUAAUUCCUAAAUUUGACAAGGCCUUAUAUAAUAAGGUAACAAACAUAAGAGCUUUUGUAAUAUAUACACUUUAAAUUUCCUAAUUAAGUGUAUUAUUUAAUUUUUUCCCCUUCGACAUUAAUUUUAAAUUUGUCAAACUUGUUACAAAUUUUUUUGGUGAAGUUGAUGCAACUCGAUUUUUCCGACAUUAUGAGUGGUGGUUGUUAAAUGUUACAUGUUUAUUAAAUAUAUUAUAUUUGGAUUAUUUUAAAUUUGUCACGAUAAUAAAUUGAGACAAAUCGAACGCGAUUAAAGGGUUUUGUAGUCGAAUUUUAUUUUCAACAUGGAUCCGGUAUUAGCUUAAUUUGUAUUAAGCUCUAAAAAAAAAGGGGGCCGAUUCUAUAAAUAGAAAGACGGGGAGGGGGGAGAGAAGAAGCUGAACUGGUUUGACCCGCGACCCGAACCGACUCGCGAACGUGACCCGGUUGGAACUCGCGAUUUCGGCCACCGUUCCGACCAAGCAAGGUGCCAAUGUGAAGCUUAGAAGCCAACCACGACAACUCGUCGUCCUCCCCGUCGAAAACCGACCAGAACGCGGCCGUUGGAAGCUCAAAAAGUUGCAGCCAAAACCCAUCACCAUCGUUGUCGAUUUCACUGGAAUUAGGCUGCGUCACCGGCUGGGUUCUACUCCUCACGUCACCAGUUUCUAUUUCCGACCAGUCCUGUCACCUGAAACGGCCGGAUUGUCGCAGAUCGGCCACUUGUAGGUUCACGGAUUUGGGAGCUCGAUCCGGAGCUGUCACCGCGCAUGGGACCUCACUGCCACGACCAUUGGACUCAGCGUGGUUAAAACUAUCAGACCUGAGCUUCCCAUCGUCGUUGCCUGAACACCGGUCACUGUUGACAGGCAGGGGUAAUUUGGUAAUUUCACAAACUUUGGGGAUAAUUUCGUAAUUUCAAAAAAUGGUGGAUAACUUGGUAAUUUCAUAUUAGGGCAUAUAGGUAAUUUGAGAUUUUGGGGGUAAUUCGGUAUGUUGUUAAGGGCAUUUUGGUAAUUUCGCACUCCAAGGGUAAUUUUGUAAUUUUAGGCCUUAUGGUUAUUUUUGUAAUAUGAAUUGAGGCUAGCUUAGUAAUUUAAAUUUGGUAAAUAUCGAUGUCGGGGCAUUUUGGUAAUUUUAGGACGUAGGAGUAUUUUGGUAAUUUUAUGCAUACAGGACGGACAAAUAUUCGUUUCGAGUUCUAUUGCGUAAAAUUAGUUGUAUUUCAUAUUUAUGGAAAAUGAUUAUGUUGUUUCCUUCAAUUAGAAGGAUUUACGAACGGGAAUUAACCUGCAGACAUUGACGAUACCAAUUUCGAAUAUUGUCACUGUGAAUGGAAUAUACAAAACUUAUUUUCAUAAUAUAUUCUAAUUUUAUGAUACAGUACAAUAUUUUUUAAUAAAUAAAUAUUUAAUGCUCUGAUUUAAUGAUUUUCUAGAAAAUGAAUUCUUAUCUACGUGCUAAUAUUUAUUUAUUAUUGAAAAUGAGUUUGAUUAAUGAUUUUACUAUCAUUUUUAAGUUAAUGCAAGAUAAUAGUUUUAAAGAGAAUUAAGUGAAUUUGAAGGGUUGUUUGCAAAACAUAAAUGAGAUUUAUGUGUGAUUACAUGUUUAUGUAUAUGUGUAUAAAAGGGUUGUUUGCAAAAUCAUUGGGCAGUAUCCUUCUCCUUCAGAUAUAGUGAUCGGGAUGAGAUGAGAGUCCUUUGGGGUUGUCUGAACACACAUAGAGGUUUUGGGUCGUGUGUUUGGGCGCUUUUGCCUUUAGGGGGAUAAUGCAUGCAGUAUAAUUAUUACAGAGAUAUAGGUAUUGAGAUACAAAUAGAUAUUGAGAUAUAGAUGAGAUAGAUAAUACAGAUGGGACAUAAGCCUUUGGGGCCUAUCUAAGUACACACAGAAUCUUUGGAUCGUGUGCUUGGGCGUCUUGUCCUUUGGAGACUAGAUUAUACAUGCACAGAUAUGAUGAGAUAUGAGAUAGCACUUCCCUGUCUAUCCGUGUAGAUUCGGGGCAUGAUGGUUCCUUGACUGUCUGUCCGUUGAGGUUUGGAUAUGAUGAUAUUACUCCCCUGAGUACUUGUUUGGUGAUAGGUUUUCGAUAUUCAAUAUUUGAUAUUAUAAGUGUUAUGAUUUCAUUGAUUUUAUGAAGAUUUAUGCAAUAUUGUUAUUGCAAUGCAUGGUUUGAAUUAAAUAAGUUUAUUUAAGUCUUAUGAUAUUUUGAUGAAAUUGUUUAGAGAAAAAUUAAAUUAUUUUAAAUAAGUUUAUUUUCAAAAACUACUAUCCGCUCACUGAGUUUUAUACUCAUUUCAUUUUUAUUAUAUUCCCUCCCCUCCCACAAGAGACUUGCAGGUACAUCAGUCGACCCAGCAACGAUAUAUUUGAUAUUAUGACCACGUGAUGGUGUUAGGAAUCAUAGAUAUUUUGCUGGGAUAUUUUGGAUUGUAUUAUUUUGUUAUAAUUUGUGAUUAAGGAUAACCAUUGUAUUUUGACAUUAGAAUUGUGUUAGUUGAUAUCUGGUAUUUUGAUUGAGGAAGUUGGUUGUGGGUGCUAGUAGUAUUUGGAAUUAUUUUUGAGAGUGUUGUUUUGUUAAUUUUCAGAUUUGGGAUAUUAUAUUUAUACGGGAGACUCUGACGAAUUUUUUGGUAGAAUCGUUAUUGAUUAAAUUAUUUUCUGUUCGAUUUGAUAGUUUUAAAUAGACUCGCCCUGAGGGUGCGGGCAGAUCGUGUCAGUUUCAACAAGCAUACCAUUAAGAUUUUGGCACUUGUAGCUGGUACAAAUAUAAGUUUACCAGUUGGAGUCGAUUGAAAAGAUGAUCAAAUCGUAAAAUAAUAAAUGUCUUUAAUUUUAUAAAUUUUAAAAGUGAAAUCACAAUCCCUUAUAGGGGUGUUCACGGAUUGAAUUUUGCGGAUUAGACAUCAAUUCAUAUCCAAUUCAUGAUUUUACAGAUUAUAAAUUUUUUAAUCCAAUCAAAUCUACGAAUUGGUGAAAUUCAUUUCAAAUCUAAUCCAUACGUCUACAAAUUGGAUGCGGAUUUGACCUAAUUAUAUCCAAUCACCAUUUUGCAGAUCGGUUUGUGGACUAAAAAUUUUUAAUCGUAUCCCAUCCACGAA